UGUAAGAGAAAGCCUAAUAUGGAUAUAACUGGCUUACAUGACGUCCAGGAAAGGAUGUGAACCCUGCAGUUCUCAGCCAAUGAGGAACCAGGGAAGGGACUCGCGUGCCAGGGAAUAAAUUACUUGCACCCAGUGCCCCAGGUGUGUCUGCCCACAGGACACCCGAUCCUGCAAGACUGUCAUUAGAGCCUCGCUCCGCUGUUCUCUGUCUGCCUGUCCGCUUACUGAGUUUGGGCCGGGUGAAAGGACUCCUCACCCACACUCCCCCACUUGAGUUCUUCGCUCACUGCUUCCAGCCUGGGGACCUGGUGUUAGUAAAGUCUUGGAAAGAAGAUGGACUCCAGCCCAGCUGGGAAGGCCCCCUACCCAUGCUCCUGACCACAGAAAAUGCAGUGAGGACGGCUGAAGAGGGCUGGACUCAUUACACCAGAAAAAAGAAACUGAUGGAGGGAUCUGGGGACACAACAGAGAAUUGGAAGGUGUCCCAGGUAGCUAACCAACCCUUAAAGCUAGAACU